GGAAUUAUUAUCUAAAAUUGAGCAAGC
rnacentral:sRNA from 1 species